rnacentral:rRNA from 1 species
CAGGAGCUGGGUAGCUAAGUGCGUAACCGAUAACCGCUGAAAGCAUCUAAGCGGGAAGCGGACCUCGAGAUAAGAUUUCCCGCUCGAAAGAGUUAAGGGCAGUUCGAGAACAGGACAUUGAUAGGUCGCAAGUGUAAGUGCAGUGAUGUAUUGAGCUGAGCGAUACUAAUAGCCCGAGGCUUUGGACA